GAUGAAGAACGCAGCGAAAUGCGAUAAGUAAUGUGAAUUGCAGAAUUCAGUGAAUCAUCGAAUCUUUGAACGCACAUUGCGCCCGCCAGUAUUCUGGCGGGCAUGCCUGUCCGAGCGUCAUUUCAACCCUCGGGCCCCCCUCUGCGGGCGGCCCGGCGUUGGGGCUCAGGCGCCGUCUCUGCUCGGCGCCUGUCCCCUAAAUGCAGUGGCGGCCUCGCCGCUGCCUCCUCCGCGUAGUAGCACAAACCUCGCGGCUGGAAGGCGGCACGGCCACGCCGUAAAACCCCCCAACUUUACCAAGGUUGACCUCGGAUCAGGUAGGAAUACCCGCUGAACUUAAGCAUAUCAAUAAGCGGAGGA
rnacentral:misc_RNA from 1 species